rnacentral:rRNA from 1 species
GACGAACGCUGGCGGCGUGCUUAACACAUGCAAGUCGAACGGAAAGGCCCUGCUUUUGUGGGGUGCUCGAGUGGCGAACGGGUGAGUAACACGUGAGUAACCUGCCCUUGACUUUGGGAUAACUUCAGGAAACUGGGGCUAAUACCGGAUAGGAGCUCCUGCUGCAUGGUGGGGGUUGGAAAGUUUCGGCGGUUGGGGAUGGACUCGCGGCUUAUCAGCUUGUUGGUGGGGUAGUGGCUUACCAAGGCUUUGACGGGUAGCCGGCAUGAGAGGGUGACCGGCCACAUUGGGACUGAGAUACGGCCCAGACUCCUACGGGAGGCAGCAGUGGAGAAUAUUGCACAAUGGGCGGAAGCCUGAUGCAGCAACGCCGCGUGCGGGAUGACGGCCUUCGGGUUGUAAACCGCUUUCGCCUGUGACGAAGCGUGAGUGACGGUAAUGGGUAAAGAAGCACCGGCUAACUACGUG